AACGAACGCUGGCGGCAGGCCUAACACAUGCAAGUCGAGCGAAGCCUUCGGGCUUAGCGGCGGACGGGUGAGUAACGCGUGGGAACGUGCCCUUUGGUACGGAAUAGCCCCGGGAAACUGGGAGUAAUACCGUAUGUGGUCGAGAGACGAAAGAUUUAUCGCCAAAGGAUCGGCCCGCGUUGGAUUAGGUAGUUGGUGGGGUAAUGGCCUACCAAGCCGACGAUCCAUAGCUGGUUUGAGAGGAUGAUCAGCCACACUGGGACUGAGACACGGCCCAGACUCCUACGGGAGGCAGCAGUGGGGAAUCUUAGACAAUGGGGGAAACCCUGAUCUAGCCAUGCCGUGUGAUCGAUGAAGGCCUUAGGGUUGUAAAGAUCUUUCAGUGGGGAGGAUAAUGACUGUACCCACAGAAGAAGCCCCGGCUAACUCCGUGCCAGCAGCCGCCGUAACAC
rnacentral:rRNA from 1 species